AGUGAACGCUGGCGGUAGGCCUAACACAUGCAAGUCGAACGGCAGCACAGUAAGAGCUUGCUCUUACGGGUGGCGAGUGGCGGACGGGUGAGGAAUACAUCGGAAUCUACUUUUUCGUGGGGGAUAACGUAGGGAAACUUACGCUAAUACCGCAUACGACCUACGGGUGAAAGCAGGGGAUCUUCGGACCUUGCGCGAUUGAAUGAGCCGAUGUCGGAUUAGCUAGUUGGCGGGGUAAAGGCCCACCAAGGCAACGAUCCGUAGCUGGUCUGAGAGGAUGAUCAGCCACCCUGGAACUGAGACACGGUCCAGACUCCUACGGGAGGCAGCAGUGGGGAAUAUUGGACAAUGGGCGCAAGCCUGAUCCAGCCAUACCGCGUGGGUGAAGAAGGCCUUCGGGUUGUAAAGCCCUUUUGUUGGGAAAGAAAAGCAGCAGGUUAAUACCCCGCUGUUCUGACGGUACCCAAAGAAUAAGCACCGGCUAACUUCGUG
rnacentral:rRNA from 1 species